UACGUAGGUGACAAGCGUUGUCCGGAUUUACUGGGCGUAAAGAGCGCGCAGGCGGUCGUUCAAGUCGAGUGUGAAAGCCCCCGGCUCAACUGGGGAGGGUCACUCGAUACUGAUCGACUCGAAGGCAGGAGAGGGAAGUGGAAUUCCCGGUGUAGUGGUGAAAUGCGUAGAUAUCGGGAGGAACACCAGUGGCGAAGGCGGUUCUCUGGGAAUGUCCUGACGCUGAGGAGCGAAAGUGUGGGGAGCGAACAGG
rnacentral:rRNA from 1 species